GUUUGAGGCCAGCCUGCACUACAUUGUGAGCUCAAGAUUCGAGUUUUGGGAAAUGUACAAAUGUCUCACACACUCCAAAAGAGGGAAGGAGAGAGAAAGAAACAAAGAAAGAAAACAUUAGCCAAAUCCCAAAACGAUUAGCACGUUUUAUCUGUACACAAAUAAGACCAGCACGUGUUGCUUGUUUCAAAUUCUCCACCCCAUGAAAGCCAAGCCACCAGCGGCUCUUCAGCUCAGUCUUCCGGGUCAGUGCUUCUGAACUCUGCCUGGAUGUUGUUCUUCGCGGGGCUGCCACUCCACUCUGCAACUGUCUGUGACAGUCGUGCUGCCCGUGCAGAAUGCCCCACUUGGUUCCCCAGCAGUACUGGCCUCCAUAUUGCUGUGAGUUCCAGCGCUGCCCUUUGGACCCCAGUAUGCUCAUAGCAUGUUGGCUGGGUAGAAGAAAGAUUCCGCAUCACCAGUACUGCCUCCAGCUUUGAGCUGAUGCCAUGGGUGAGGUCCCUUCUGUCUUGCUA